CGCCCUUAGAGUUUGAUCCUGGCUCAGGACGAACGCUGGCGGCGUGCCUAACACAUGCAAGUCGAGCGGAGGCACUCAAGGAGCAAUCUGAGGGUGUCUGAGCGGCGGACGGGUGAGUAACGCGUGAGCAACCUGCCUUUCACAGGGGGAUAACGCAGCGAAAGCUGCACUAAUACCGCAUGAGACCACGGCGGAGAUACCGCAGGGGUCAAAGGAGCAAUCCGGUGAGAGAUGGGCUCGCGUCCGAUUAGGUAGUUGGUGAGGUAAAGGCCCACCAAGCCAAUGAUCGGUAGCCGGCCUGAGAGGGUGAACGGCCACAUUGGAACUGAGAGACGGUCCAAACUCCUACGGGAGGCAGCAGUGGGGAAUAUUGGGCAAUGGGGGAAACCCUGACCCAGCAACGCCGCGUGAGGGAAGAAGGUUUUCGGAUUGUAAACCUCUGUUCUUGGUGAAGAGAAGAAGACGGUAGCUAAGGAGGAAGCCCUGGCUAACUACGUGCCAGCAGCCGCGGUAAUACGUAGGGGGCGAGCGUUGUCUGGAAUGAUUGGGCGUAAAGGGCGCGUAGGCGGCUGGGCAAGUCAGUAGUGGAAGUCUAUUUUUCAAGGAUGGAAGUGCUAUUGAAACUGCGCAGCUUGAGUGCAGGAGAGGUUAUCGGAAUUCUCGGUGUAGCGGUGAAAUGCGUAGAUAUCGGGAGGAACACCAGUGGCGAAGGCGGGUAACUGGACUGCAACUGACGCUGAGGCGCGAAAGUGUGGGGAGCAAACAGGAUUAGAUACUCUGGUAGUCCACACGGUAAACGAUGAAUGCUAGGUGUAGGGGGUAUCGACUCUUUCUGUGCCGGAGUAAACACAAUAAGCAUUCCGUCUGGGGAGUACGGUCGCAAGAUUAAAACUCAAGGAAUG
rnacentral:rRNA from 1 species